GAUGAACGCUGGCGGCGUGCCUAAUACAUGCAAGUCGAGCGAACAGACGAGGAGCUUGCUCCUCUGACGUUAGCGGCGGGCGGGUGAGUAACACGUGGAUAACCUACCUAUAAGACUGGGAUAACUUCGGGAAACCGGAGCUAAUACCGGAUAAUAUAUUGAACCGCAUGGUUCAGUAGUGAAAGACGGUUUUGCUGUCACUUAUAGAUGGAUCCGCGCCGCAUUAGCUAGUUGGUAAGGUAACGGCUUACCAAGGCAACGAUGCGUAGCCGACCUGAGAGGGUGAUCGGCCACACUGGAACUGAGACACGGUCCAGACUCCUACGGGAGGCAGCAGUAGGGAAUCUUCCGCAAUGGGCGAAAGCCUGACGGAGCAACGCCGCGUGAGUGAUGAAGGUCUUCGGAUCGUAAAACUCUGUUAUUAGGGAAGAACAAAUGUGUAAGUAACUAUGCACGUCUUGACGGUACCUAAUCAGAAAGCCACGGCUAACUACGUG
rnacentral:rRNA from 1 species